AUGGUUGGAGGCUAUGUCCCUGAGCAUGUCUGGCGAGUGCUUGCUGAGCUAAGCCAUUUCUUCCGCACGCUCUGUGCUAAAGAAGUAAGUAAAGAUGUGAUUGAAAAAUUACAUAAGAAGGCACCGGAGUUGAUAGUCAAGCUAGAGAAGAUCUUUCCGCCAGGCUUCUUUACUCCGAUGACACAUCUCAUUCUGCACCUCGUGAACGAGGUAUUGUUGGGGGGGCCUGUGCAGAAUCGCUGGCAGUAUGGCCCUGAGAGACAGAACAAGCAUCUCCGAAAGAAAUGUGGAAACAAAGCUAAGAUUGAAGCUUCCAUAGCUGAGGCAGUUAUCCUAGAGGAGGUGGCAGACCUCAGGACAUCAUACUAUCCAGACCACGUUCUCCAUCUGCAUAACAAGGUGCCUCGAUACAAUAUAGAAGAGCCCAAGUAUCAACCCAGGCUCCAUCUAUUCAACGCGCAAGGUGGGAGGGCUGGGGCCUCGAAAUGUUAUAACAUGCCACGACAAGAGUGGGAGGACCUCAUGUUCUAUAUCUUACACAACAUCAAGGAAGUUGAGGAAGUGUGGAUGAGUGAUUUUGUUCAAGAGGAAUGGACGGGAAUGAAUCCUCCUACUGAGGCGGAGGCACUUACUCUUCUCCGUCAUGGAAACCCUGGACGUAAAAAUUUUGUUGCUUGGUUCAUGGAGAAAGGAAAAGAUCCGAACAUAUCUAUGGAUGAUGAAUUGAGAUGGGUUUCCAUGGGUUUUGACCCUGCCGUCAUGACAUGUAAAAAGUAUGAUGUGAAUAGGUAUCGCUUCCAUACAGAGGAGCACCAGAACAGCCGGCCUGAUCCCAAAACUAUAAAUACCGAAGUGUACACCCCCGGUCAAAAUUCAGUAGACUACUAUGGAAGGGUACAAAAUAUAUACGAGAUUAAAUUCCACCAGGGGCGCGAGACCCUAAGUCUGCAUGUGUUCAAAUGUCGAUGGUUCGAUUCGCGCGAGGGGGUAAAACAUACGCCUUCCAUUGGUUUGGUCGAAGUUAAACCAACCAUCUACGCCGGAGCCGAUCUCUUCAUUGCGGCUACCCAAGCUACACAAGUAUAUUAUCUGCCUUACCCAUGCCAGAAAGAGUACCUAAAGGGUUGA
rnacentral:rRNA from 1 species